UGGCGGACGGGUGAGUAACGCGUGGGUAACCUGCCUCACACAGGGGGAUAACAGUUGGAAACGACCGCUAAUACCGCAUAACCCGCUGGUAUCGCAUGAUACUGACGGAAAAGAUUUAUCGGUGUGAGAUGGACCCGCGUCUGAUUAGCCAGUUGGCAGGGUAACGGCCUACCAAAGCGACGAUCAGUAGCCGGCCUGAGAGGGUGAACCGGCCACAUUGGGACUGAGACACGGCCCAAACUCCUACGGGAGGCAGCAG
rnacentral:rRNA from 1 species